CAUCUGGGGGACAGAGACCAGAACAGACUGAGAGCAGGGCAUGCAGGGGAACUUAAGACUGAUCCACAUCUGAAGGAGCUGCUGCUGGGUUCUUAAGACGAUCAGAUAUCCAGACAUGGACCACAUAUGGAAAAGGGCUUGUAGUUACCGUAGGAAUGAUCCAGCAGAGGGUUGGACAUGUUGGGGACAUAACCUUCAGGAGCAGCCUCUAUUUCCUGUUGGCACCGAGCACCGAUGAUGAUGAUGGGGGGGUUAACGGCAGGCAGAGCCAGGCACCACGGGCAGCAGCCGGGCUGGACGCCAGCAGCAGCCAGCGAUGCAAAAUCUGACCCGGAAUAAAGAGAGAGGCCAGGGUCAGGCUGGGACACGGCGCUCGGGCCGACACCCUCCACAACCUCUGGGCUUGAGUCUGUCUGGGAGCGAAGCCAGAAACAGAGCUCUGAAUCAGUGAUGGAUGAGCUUCACUCUGUGGACAUUAAUCAGGUUAUCAGAGUCUGACCACAAGAGCUGCUGUCUGUUUCACUGCCACUAGAACCAGUGGUGAAAUGUAUCUAAUACUUUUACUCAAGUACAAAGUCAAGGUGGCCUACUUGUACUUUUUACUUCACAACAUUUGUCUGACAGCUUUAGUUACUUCACAAACUCAUAUAUGUCAUUCUCUGAAAAAUUCCCAAUUCUCACAAAAAAAUAGUUUUUAAGCUUGCAUGAGGUGGUAUUUCAGGUGAUUUGAA